rnacentral:rRNA from 1 species
GACGAACGCUGGCGGCGUGCUUAACACAUGCAAGUCGAACGAAGCGGGGACGGGUGAGUAACACGUGGAUAACCUCCUAUAAGACUGGGAUAACUUCGGGAAACCGGAGCUACACCGGAUACUUAUAGAUGGAUCCGCGCUGCAUUUGCUAGUUGGUAAGGUAACGGCUUACCAAGGCAACGAUGCAUAGCCGACCUGAGGGGGUGAUCGGCCACACUGGAGCUGAGACACGGUCCAGACUCCUACGGGAGGCAGCAGGGGGGAAACUUCCGGAAUGGACGAAAGUCUGACGGAGCAACGCCGCGGUAGUGAUGACGGCCUUCGGGUUGUAAAGAUCUGUUAAUCGGGACGCGGUACCGGAAUAGAAAGCCACGGCUAACUACGUGCCAGCCGCCGCGGUAAUUC